UACGUAGGGUGCGAGCGUUGUCCGGAAUUAUUGGGCGUAAAGAGCUUGUAGGCGGUUUGUCGCGUCUGCCGUGAAAUUUCGAGGCUCAACCUCGAACUUGCGGUGGGUACGGGCAGACUAGAGUGUGGUAGGGGAGACUGGAAUUCCUGGUGUAGCGGUGAAAUGCGCAGAUAUCAGGAGGAACACCGAUGGCGAAGGCAGGUCUCUGGGCCACUACUGACGCUGAGAAGCGAAAGCGUGGGGAGCAAACAGG
rnacentral:rRNA from 1 species